rnacentral:rRNA from 1 species
UACAGAGGGGGCAAGCGUUGUCCGGAUUUACUGGGCGUACAGCGCGCGCAGGCGGUUUCGUAUGUGAGCGGUGACAUCCGCGGGCUUAACCCGCGGCGGCCCGCUUACACAGCGCGACUGGAGGCAGGGAGAGGGAUGUGGAAUACCCGGUGGAGCGGUGAAAUGCGUAGAGAUCGGGUGGAACACCAGCGGCGAAGGCGGCAUCCUGGCCCUGUACUGACGCUGAGGCGCGAUAGCGUGGGGAGCAAACGGG